CCUACGGGUGGCUGCAGUGGGGAAUAUUGCACAAUGGGCGCAGGCCUGAUGCAGCCAUGCCGCGUGUGUGAAGAAGGCCUUCGGGUUGUAAAGCACUUUCAGCGGGGAGGAAGGCGGUGAGGUUAAUAACCUCAUCGAUUGACGUUACCCGCAGAAGAAGCACCGGCUAACUCCGUGCCAGCAGCCGCGGUAAUACGGAGGGUGCAAGCGUUAAUCGGAAUUACUGGGCGUAAAGCGCACGCAGGCGGUCUGUCAAGUCGGAUGUGAAAUCCCCGGGCUCAACCUGGGAACUGCAUUCGAAACUGGCAGGCUAGAGUCUUGUAGAGGGGGGUAGAAUUCCAGGUGUAGCGGUGAAAUGCGUAGAGAUCUGGAGGAAUACCGGUGGCGAAGGCGGCCCCCUGGACAAAGACUGACGCUCAGGUGCGAAAGCGUGGGGAGCAAACAGGAUUAGAUACCCGAGUAGUC
rnacentral:rRNA from 1 species